rnacentral:rRNA from 1 species
ACACAUGCAAGUCGAGCGGUAGAGAGAAGCUUGCUUCUCUUGAGAGCGGCGGACGGGUGAGUAAUGCCUAGGAAUCUGCCUGGUAGUGGGGGAUAACGUUCGGAAACGGACGCUAAUACCGCAUACGUCCUACGGGAGAAAGCAGGGGACCUUCGGGCCUUGCGCUAUCAGAUGAGCCUAGGUCGGAUUAGCUAGUUGGUGAGGUAAUGGCUCACCAAGGCAACGAUCCGUAACUGGUCUGAGAGGAUGAUCAGUCACACUGGAACUGAGACACGGUCCAGACUCCUACGGGAGGCAGCAGUGGGGAAUAUUGGACAAUGGGCGAAAGCCUGAUCCAGCCAUGCCGCGUGUGUGAAGAAGGUCUUCGGAUUGUAAAGCACUU